CCCCCUUUAAAACCGGAAGUGGUUUUCUCGCAACUACAGCGCAUUGAUUUCCCCCCACAACAAUAAAAGGGUGACGAAUACUGACAAUUAGCAGAAAGCGUCUCACUCACUCCCAUUAGCACCAAACAACCACCGUGUUGUUGAAGAAGCGACGCGGCCCGCCAUGCUGUCGGAUGCAGACUAUUCUGGGAAUGCCUCCGGGAAUGCUCGGCGAGCCAGGAAGAGGAGCUCCGGGGAGUCACCUGGGGACGGCCAGACCCUGCGCUCCUCUGGGAGGCAGACCAACGUGCGGGUGAAGCGCACCAACAACCCUCCACCUGGACAGAGCAAAAGAAAAGCCACAGACACAGAGGAGGAAGACGACCAGUCUGAGAAGAAGUACAGGAAGUGCGAGAAGGCUGGAUGCUCCGCCACGUACCCAGUUUGUUUUGCAAGUGCCUCUGACAGGUGUGCUAAAAACGGAUACACGUCUCGCUGGUACCAUCUGUCAUGCGGUGAGCAUUUUUGCAACGAAUGUUUUGACCACUACUACAGAAGUCACAAAGAUGGCUAUGAGGUCUUUGCUUUGUGGAAGAAGGUGUGGACUAGUAACGGGAAAAGUGAGCCCAGUCUGAAAGCUUUCAUGGCCGAUCAGCAGCUACCGUUCUGGGUUCAAUGUACUAAACUGGACUGUGGCAAGUGGCGCCAGUUGACCAAGGAGAUCCAACUCACUGCCUCCCUCGCAGCCGCGUACCGCUGUGGAAUGAAGUUCAACAACAUCAAGAGUGAGGGAUUGGACCACUGCUCCCAACCAGAGGACUUGAGGGUGGCCGAGGUGUCUGACAGCUGGUGGCAUUCCAUGUUGAUUUUGCCGCCGUUGUUCAAAGACAGUCCCGCCGGCCCGUUCCUCGCCGCCUACUACCCCGACUGCGUGGGGAUGAGUCCGUCGGGCGCUGCCAGCAACCCGUCUCUGUCUGAGCUCCGGGCGGAUCACUGCAGAGCCGUCCCGCUGCAGAUUCCAGGCCUGUGUCCGUACUUCCAGCCCUUCUACCAGCCCAACGAGUGUGGGAAGGCUCUGUGCGUUCGGCCGGACAUGAUGGAGCUGGAUGAGCUUUACGAGUUCCCCGAGUUUUCCCGUGAUCCCACCAUGUAUUUGGCUUUGCGCAACCUCAUUCUGGCCUCCUGGCACAAGAACUGCAAGGAGGUGCUGACUGCUCAGAAAUGUGGCGUGCACAUCAUUGCCCGGGGGUUGGUGCGCGUGCGCUGCGUGCAGGAGAUGGACCGGGUGCUCCACUUCAUGACCAGGAAGGGUCUCAUCAACACUGGCGUGCUGGCAGUGAAGCGUCCCCUGCUCCCCGAAAGACACGGCUCUAGGAACGUUAUCGUCAUCGGCGCCGGGGCUUCGGGGCUGGCUGCUGCGCGGCAACUGCAAAACUUUGGCACUCAGGUGGUGGUGCUCGAGGCGAGGGAGAGAAUCGGAGGGCGCGUGUGGGACGACACGUCUCUGGGCACCACUGUGGGCCGAGGAGCUCAAAUCGUCAAUGGCUGCGUGAACAACCCCAUCGCCCUCAUGUGUGAACAGAUGGGCAUCAAGAUGCGCAAGCUGGGGGAGCGGUGUGAUCUCUUUCAGGAGGGGGGGCAGGUCACCGACCCGGCCAUCGACAAGCGCAUGGACUUCCACUUCAACGGCAUCCUAGACGUGGUGUCGGAAUGGAGGAAGGACAAGUCACAGAACCAGGACACGCCGCUGAGAGAAAAGGUCCAGGAAGUGAAGAAGAACUUCCUUCAGGAGUCUGGAAUCCAGUUCAGCGAGUUGGAGGAGAAAGUGCUUCAGUUUCACCUCAGCAACCUGGAGUACGCCUGUGGAAGCACGUUAGACCAGGUAUCAGCAAGAUCUUGGGACCACAAUGAGUUCUUCGCCCAGUUCUCAGGAGACCACACGCUACUCGCCAAGGGCUACUCCGCUGUGCUCCACAAACUGGCCGAGGGCCUCGACAUCCGCACAAAGUGCCCGGUUCAGGCCGUUGAUUACUCAGGUGAUGUCGUCAAGGUUACCUCCUCCAACGGGUCCCAGUGGACGGCACAGAAGGUUCUUGUUACUGUCCCGUUGACUUUGCUCCAAAAGAACUCGAUUCAGUUCCACCCAGCGCUUCCUGAAAGGAAACUGAAAGCGAUCCACAGCCUGGGAGCCGGCAUCAUAGAAAAGAUCGCUCUCCAGUUCCCGUACCGGUUCUGGGACAACAAAAUCCAAGGGGCGGACUACUUUGGUCACAUACCACCCGGUCCCGACAAGAGAGGCAUGUUCAGUGUCUUCUAUGACAUGGAGCCCCAGGCUGUCCUCAUGUCCGUUAUCACUGGUGAUGCUGUGCCUGCUGUCCGGGACAUGGAGGACAAGGAGGUGGUGGACGAGUGCAUGAAGGUGCUGCGUGAGCUUUUCAAAGAGCAGGACGUCCCAGAGCCGCUGCAUUUCUUCGUCACACAUUGGAGCAGAGACCCGUGGUCCCAGAUGUCCUACAGCUUUGUGAAGACGGGGGGAAGUGGAGAGGCCUACGACAUCCUCGCUGAAGACGUGCAGGGGAAAGUGUUCUUUGCUGGAGAGAAUGAAAGUGGAAAUAGAAGUUUGAAGGAAUAAUCUGAUCUGAAGUUCCACUUCCAGUGCUAGCUUGUUCCUUUCUAAGGGGGCGUUAAUGAUGACAAAUGAGAAUUUAAAGUCCUAGCCACCAACAGACAUUUCCCUCAGACUGUGACGGGCGCCUACCUGAGUGGGGUCAGAGAGGCCAGCAAGAUGGCCGCUAUGUAAAGUCUGCCUGAAGCACCAGCACGGACACACGGGUCGCACUAAAUGCUCCUCUUGAAAUGAAAUUGCACUGCUGUGUGUGUGUGUGUGUGUGUGUGUGUGAGAGAGAUCAGGUCAAGUAGGGCUUCCUCGGGCCUGGCUUUACAUUUUUCAACACAAGAAAAAUGUUAAAUUUGAGUCCAUGCUUCUGCGAUGGAAAUGGGUAGAACAUGUCAUUUUGAGAGCUUAGGGUUAAUGAAACAUUGGUGAACUCUUAUCAUUUAAUCAUGAUUUAAAUCAAAUUUAAUCUCCAAGGAUUACGUUUCUCGAGAUCAUUUGAAAUAUUUUCUUUGAGCGUUAGCUACCAAUGUUUUAUACGUCCGUAUUGCAUUUGCAUUACGUGAGAUAUAUUAGAUAUACAGUAGGAGUACUUCUGUGAUAGCACUUUUGAUUUCAAUGAGUAUUUGAUUUAAAAACAAGUGAGUAGUUCAUGUGUAGGACAGUGAGUGUGAUCACAGGGUUGUCCUCCCACUGUCUCAGGGAUGUGAUCAAGAAAGCAACACCCAGCAGACAAUGAUGGAAGGAAGAAAUUAUUGUGAAUGGACAUUUCUGAAAAUAUUUUGUGGGGGAAAUAAUAACCCAACCAACCGAAGGAGGAAGAACAACUUUCAUUAGUUCCUGAACAACGAGGUUUGAUUAAUGUUGACUGAAGCGUUCUACCCACGUCCUCAUAUCUCUACGUCGAGAUGAUCACGUCCUGUUUGUCCAGCAUUACGGUGCUCGAGUAUUUAUCUUGUACGUGUGUAAUAAACGGAGCUAUCAACUGCCAUAGCGACCGCU